rnacentral:snRNA from 1 species
AGCCAUGUAGUGAGCACAAAGCAAACUAUUCUUUCGCCUUUUACUAAAGAAUACCGUGUCCUCACUGCUUCAAGUGGCAUACGCCUAUUUUUGGAGAAACCCUUUUAUUGAAGGGAU